UACGAGGGGGGCUAGCGGUGUUCGGAAUCACUGGGCGUAAAGCGCGUGUAGGCGGAUAUGCAAGCAAGAGGUGAAAGCCCAGGGCUUAACCUUGGAACUGCCUUUUGAACUGUAUAUCUGGAGUUUUGGAGGGGAGUGUGGAAUUCCUAAUGUAGAGGUGAAAUUCGUAGAGAUUAGGAGGAACACCGGUGGCGAAGGCGGCACUCUGGACAAAUACUGAGGCUGAGACGCGAAAGCGUGGGGAGCAAACAGG
rnacentral:rRNA from 1 species